rnacentral:rRNA from 1 species
GACGAACGCUGGCGGCGUGCUUAACACAUGCAAGUCGAACGAUGAACCCGGAGCUUGCUCUGGGGGAUUAGUGGCGAACGGGUGAGUAACACGUGAGUAACCUGCCCUGGACUCUGGGAUAAGCGUUGGAAACGACGUCUAAUACCGGAUAGGACCUUGGAUCGCAUGAUCUGGGGUGGAAAGUUUUUUCGGUCUGGGAUGGACUCGCGGCCUAUCAGCUUGUUGGUGAGGUAAUGGCUCACCAAGGCGUCGACGGGUAGCCGGCCUGAGAGGGUGACCGGCCACACUGGGACUGGGACACGGCCCAGACUCCUACGGGAGGCAGCAGUGGGGAAUAUUGCACAAUGGGCGAAAGCCUGAUGCAGCAACGCCGCGUGCGGGAUGACGGCCUUCGGGUUGUAAACCGCUUUUAGUAGGGAAGAAGGGCUUCGGCUUGACGGUACCUGCAGAAAAAGGACCGGCUAACUACGUG